UUCUCCAUUUGUAGUUAAUGGGUAUAGGUCUAGUAUCACCGGGCUGAUUCUGUGACUAGAUCUACACUCAUUGAGUGCUUAUGGAU
rnacentral:pre_miRNA from 9 species